UUUAAAAAAUGUAGAUACUUCACUGGAUCAUACCCACGCUUAUUUCAAGGCAAAUUAAUUUAGGAAAAUAAAAUCCACCUGAAAAACGGUCCAAAUUAAUUAAAAGAAGGCUGUCUCUCUCUAUCAGAAUAUUACAUUAGCAAUUUUCAAAGUACUCUUAACAUCCUUGGGAAUUUUACAAGAAUAAUUAAUAAUAAGGGUUUCCUGCUACGAUAAUAAGACACCUGCAAUGAUCUGAUGAUACUGGAACCAUGUCAAUCAAUAUGGUGCUCUUUAGGCUAGCAUUCCUUACCUGAACUUGCAGGAAUAAUCCAGUUUCAGAAAAGAAUAUUAACAUAACAAC